UCUCUCAGUUCGGAUCGAAGUCUGCAACCCGACUUCGUGAAGCUGGAUUCGCUAGUAAUCGCGCAUCAGCCAUGGCGCGGUGAAUACGUUCCCGGGCCUUGUACACACCCGCCCGUCAAGCCAUGAAAGCCGGGGGUACCUGAAGUACGUAACCGCAAGGAUCGUCCUAGGGUAAAACUGGUAAUUGGGGCUAAGUCGUAACAAGGUACC
rnacentral:rRNA from 1 species